AAAAAAAAACAAUUCUUUGAUGCUUCCCUCAUCCCAUCAGCCAUGGUCCUAAAGCUUCUUGAUGGUGGUGGCGGCGGCGGCGGCGACGACGGAUUCAAUCCCUCUGCUGCCGAGCACAAGCGACACGAGCAGAUCGGCAACCUCGCCGUCGAGCUCAAGCACCAGCGCCUUGCUUCUAAGCCAUCAGCUAUGGUACGGAGGUAAGCUAGCUUCAUGGGGUUGCCGGCGGCGGCUGAUUUGGUCCCUUGCAGCUGAGCACAAGCGACGCGCGAGCAGAUCGGCGACCUCACCGGCGAGCUCGAGCACCACGCAGUGCAUUAGGCGACACAACAUCAAUCUCAAGUGCGGGCCACCCAAUCGAUUGCCUUGCUUCCGAGUUCUAGCCUGAGCUCUUGGAACUAGCGCGCAGGGCAUGAGAGCACAGGAUACCAGCAAAUUCAAACUUCUUGCAGCUGCAUUUGACACUAGAUUCCAAUGCGACCUUUUUGAGUAUAACUUAUUCUUCAUGUCAACACGAGUGAAGCCAAGAUUCUCAUAUCCACAUGAUUGUUUUGCCAACAAGUCAACAACCGCUUUAGUUGAAAUGCCUACAGAUUUUGCAACUUCAACACUUGCAACCUGAGCUUCAUUUACCUUCCUUUGUGAUCUUAACUGGCCAGCGGAUGAAUCAUCAGGCUCAACAAGAUUUGUGAAUGACGUCGUUGUAGCAGAUGUAUUGUCCAAGAACAUGGGACUUGCUCCUGCAUCAUGCAGUUGUGAUGCCUCUGAUGGAGGAAUCAUGCUGUUGUUUGGCAUAGCACCAAGAUCUGGCGUCGAUGCCGGUGCUUGAUAAGAGAGAUUAAUUUAUCAGGAUGCUAAUGCAUGUUUAGAUAUGAGUUGUUUGGAUGCUGGAGGAUUUAACGGGAGAACUGAGACAAAUGGCGCCAUAAUUCUUUUUCCCGCCAGCAAUUCUAUCUAUUUGGCGCCUAAAAUCUGUUAGUAAAAUUAAUGGUGUUGUUUCUAACUAUUAAACGGAGACGUAAUGCCGUGCGUGUGACGGAGGCGCAAAGGUGUGGAGGCCCACUAGAAAAUACGAAACCAAUAAGCGAUUGACAUCUGGCAA